UUGCUUCGGCAAUUUCGCAUCCCUUAUUUUCUGUUUAAUCGACUUUUGAUUGAGCAGCCGCGAAACUUUAUGUUUUCCUUUUUGCAAAACUUUCCGGUAAAAUCUUAGUCACCGGAAAAUGUUCCUAUCUCAUUCUCCCCAACCAACUUAUUAUUCUUCCGUUAAUUUCUCACCUCGCUCUUCUCCGAAACCACCUUCGUACUCCGUCGCCUUUUACAACCCUUCCACAACCUCCGCCGCCGGAGCUAAAACCUCGAACAAUCAUCUAAUCCAAUCCUUGUGCAAAGAGGGCAACUUAAAACAGGCGCUUCGCCUCUUGUCUCACGAACCAAGCCCGAGUCAACAGACUUACGAGCUUCUCAUUCUCUGCUGCGGUCGCCGCCGAAGUUCCCUCUCCGACGCUCUACGAGUUCAUCGCCACAUUCUCGAUAAUGGGUCUGAUCAAGAUCCCUUUUUGGCGACGAAGCUUAUCGGUAUGUAUUCGGAUUUGGGCUCAGUCGAUUACGCACGCAAGGUGUUCGAUAAAACGCGUAAGAGAACUAUUUACGUGUGGAACGCUUUGUUCCGAGCUCUUUCUUUAGCGGGUCAUGGAGAAGAAGUGUUGGGUUUGUACUGGAAGAUGAAUAGGAUCGGGGUGGAGUCUGAUAGGUUCACUUACACUUACGUUCUCAAGGCUUGCGUCACAUCGGAAUGCACGGAGGAUCAUCUAGCGAAAGGGAAAGAGAUUCACGCACAUCUUACCCGACGGGGGUACAAUUCGCAUGUUUACAUCAUGACUACAUUGUUGGACAUGUAUGCACGAUUUGGCUGUGUGGAUUACGCUAGCAAUGUGUUUGAUGGGAUGCCUGUUAGAAAUGUGGUUUCUUGGAGCGCGAUGAUCGCUUGCUAUGCGAAGAACGGCAAGGCUUUUGAAGCUCUGAGGACUUUCAGUGAAAUGAUGACAGAGACCAAAGAUUCAUCCCCGAAUUCUGUGACUAUGGUGAGCGUGCUGCAAGCUUGUGCUUCCCUUGCGGCGUUAGAGCAAGGGAGAUUGAUUCAUGGGUACAUACUCAGGCGUGGGCUUGACUCCAUAUUGCCUGUCAUCAGUGCGCUUGUGACAAUGUAUGGUAGAUGCGGUAGGCUCGAGGUGGGACAGAGGGUAUUUGAUCGGAUGCGUGAGCGUGAUGUUGUGUCUUGGAACUCCUUGAUAUCAAGCUAUGGCGUUCAUGGAUAUGGAAGGAAAGCAAUUCAAAUAUUCGAAGAGAUGCUCGCCAAUGGGGCUUCCCCAACCCCUGUAACAUUUGUGAGCGUUUUGGGAGCUUGCAGCCACGAGGGACUUGUUGAGGAGGGAAAAAGGCUGUUUGAGUCGAUGUGGACAGACCAUGGGAUAAAACCACAAGUCGAGCAUUAUGCUUGUAUGGUUGAUCUGUUAGGUCGGGCGAAUAGGUUAGAGGAGGCAGCAAAGAUGGUACAAGACAUGAGGACUGAACCAGGGCCUAAGGUCUGGGGUUCCCUUCUUGGAUCUUGUAGAAUUCACGGUAACGUUGAGCUGGCAGAGCGUGCGAGUAGAAGGCUUUUUUCUCUUGAGCCGAAAAAUGCAGGGAACUAUGUGCUGUUGGCAGACAUUUACGCAGAAGCUCAGAUGUGGGAUAAGGUUAAGAAAGUGAAGAAGCUUCUAGAAUACAGAGGACUGCAGAAGCUGCCUGGUCGGUGCUGGAUGGAAGUGAGGAGGAAAAUGUACUCGUUUGUCUCGGUGGAUGAGUUCAAUCCUCUAAUGGAACAGAUUCAUGCUCUCUUGGUUAAGUUAGCAGAAGAUAUGAAGGAGAAAGGGUACAUACCGCAGACCAAAGGCGUGUUGUAUGAUCUUGAGACGGAAGAGAAAGAGCGGAUAGUGUUGGGACACAGUGAGAAACUGGCGUUGGCGUUUGGGCUGAUAAAUACAGCGAAAGGAGAACCGAUAAGGAUCACCAAGAACUUGCGUUUGUGUGAGGACUGUCACUUGUUUACAAAGUUCAUCUCAAAGUUUAUGGAAAAGGAGAUUUUGGUAAGAGAUGUGAACCGGUUUCAUCGGUUUAAGAAUGGUGUUUGUUCUUGUGGAGAUUACUGGUAACACUUAGGGGUUUAUACGUUUGCUUGUGAAUAAUGAGCAAGGGAGAGAUGUCCACUUGAGCUCCCUCUUGGACCUAAUCAGGCCAAAGAAAUGACAAGCAGACACUCUUUCUUGUGUAGCUGCGGCUGUUUAGUCUUCAGUUCUCUGUUCAGCGGCUGCUUUCUUGCGUCGCAAGUUUCUUGACUCUGCCCUUUCACCUUAACCGGAGCAACCUACAGGGCUACAAUUUAGACAUUUCAGAAGCGUUCUGAACCGCGGUUAAGAUCCGAGAGCCCAGCAACCUACAGGGCUACAAUUUAGACAUUUCAGAAGCGUUCUGAACCGCGGUUAAGACCCGAGAGCCCAGUUUAUCGUAGGAGCUUCCCCAGCUGGUAUCUCUAGCCUUGUUAAAUAAGUUCCCACGCCCUGCACAUUGUCAGAUAAGCUAGCAGCUUUUGAAUUUGCCUCUCUAGCUAUUUAUCUGCUGGUGCUGCAUCUCAGGAUUUCUCAGCUUGGACUUUGGCUUCUUCCUCAGCUCUAGCCCUUGUGAUCCCAUCUGCGAGCACUUCCUCAUCCCAUAUUCGAGGAUUACAUAACACUAUCGUGGAUGAUAUUUCAUCAAAAAGAGUUCAGAUAAAUAAACAUUGACUUAAGCUAUAAACUCUCCAUGGAGAACGCGUUUAAGAUCACUACAACUUUACUAACAAUACAAUUUCUAAAUCAACAAGAGCAGU